CCUACGGGUGGCUGCAGUGAGGAAUAUUGGUCAAUGGGCGCGAGCCUGAACCAGCCAAGUCGCGUGAAGGAUGACGGCCCUACGGGUUGUAAACAUCUUUUAUAAAGGAAUAAAGUUAGGCACGUGUGCCCUUUUGUAUGUACUUUAUGCAUAAGGAUCGGCUAACUCCGUGCCAGCAGCCGCGGUAAUACGGAGGAUCCGAGCGUUAUCCGGAUUUAUUGGGUUUAAAGGGAGCGUAGAUGGGUUGUUAAGUCAGUUGUGAAAGUGUGGGGCUCAACCGUAAGAUUGCAAUUGAUACUGGCAGUCUUGAGUACAGUAGAGGUAGGCGGAAUUCGUGGUGUAGCGGUGAAAUGCUGAGAGAUCACGAAGAACUCCGAUUGCGAAGGCAGCUUACUGAAC
rnacentral:rRNA from 1 species